rnacentral:rRNA from 1 species
UAAGGAAUAUUGGUCAAUGGAGGCAACUCUGAACCAGCCAUGCCGCGUGCAGGAAGACGGCCCUCUGGGUUGUAAACUGCUUUUAUUCGGGAAUAAACCUAUCUACGUGUAGAUAGCUGAAUGUACCGAAGGAAUAAGGAUCGGCUAACUCCGUGCCAGCAGCCGCGGUAAUACGGAGGAUCCAAGCGUUAUCCGGAUUUAUUGGGUUUAAAGGGUGCGUAGGCGGCCUAUUAAGUCAGGGGUGAAAGACGGUAGCUCAACUAUCGCAGUGCCCUUGAUACUGAUGAGCUUGAAUGAACUAGAGGUAGGCGGAAUGUGACAAGUAGCGGUGAAAUGCAUAGAUAUGACACAGAACACCGAUUGCGAAGGCAGCUUACUAUGGUUUUAUUGACGCUGAGGCACGAAAGCGUGGGGAUCAAACA